UGGACUUAAAUGUAGAGUGCAUUCAUUAGAAAUAGUGAUUUCCUUCGGGACUCUUUACAAGGUGCUGCAUGGUUGUCGUCAGCUCGUGCCGUGAGGUGUCGGGUUAAGUCCCAUAACGAGCGCAACCCCUAUCGUUAGUUGCUAGCAGGUAAUGCUGAGGACUCUAACGAAACUGCCGGUGUAAACCGAGAGGAAGGUGGGGAUGACGUCAAAUCAGCACGGCCCUUAUGUCCAGGGCUACACACGUGUUACAAUGGAUGGUACAAAGAGCUGCUACUAGGUGACUAGAUGCUAAUCUUCAAAGCCAUUCUCAGUUCGGAUCGGAGUCUGCAACUCGACUCCGUGAAGUUGGAUUCGCUAGUAAUCGUAGAUCAGCAAUGCUACGGUGAAUACGUUCCCGGGCCU
rnacentral:rRNA from 1 species